UCCCAUUUGCUGCUGCCUUCACCGCCAAAGUAUAUGAGUGUCUGAACCAGAAUACAGCAAUACAAAUGUCUCAGCAGAGCACAAGGCAAAGGAAAUUACAAUCAAAAUCAAAACCCAAUAAUCAGAAAAAAUGGAUCCCAGCAAUCAGCCCACAGGUGCCUGUUAUUCAUCUGAGAAAUCAGGGAUGCUGCAGUCUACACCAUACCAGGACAAUCUUGCUGGAUACCUUCCCUCCUUUCCAAGCAAGCCAUAUCCAGGGAACUCCGUGGUUGCCAUGCAGCCUGCAGUUUUUGUGACCGCUGCUCCACUGGACAAUCCAGAGCCAGAAUACCUUUACUAUUCCAUCUUUACCAUGCUGUGCUGCUGCUUUCCUCUGGGCAUCUCUGCACUGAUUUUCUCUGGCUCCACUCGAAAUGCCAACUACUCAGGACAGCAAGUAUUAGCAGAAAAGAACUCCAAAACGGCACGCACCCUGAAUCAUGUCGGCGUUGCUAUUGGGCUUGUCCUCAUUGUAUUGCUUAUUAUCUUACAGUUUGUGUAGAUUUAGAGAUCUAACAGCUGUUAGAGCUGUCAUGUUUAGAUGCAGAUUACAGAUUUGGUUGUAAUUUGGUCAAUGUAUCAUUAUACUUAUAACAUUUGCUAUUAUUGCUAUGUUUAUGAUUAUUAUUAUGUUUAAAACAUUGAAAGCUUUGACUGGCCAGUUAAAUUUAUCAUGAAAUAACAUUACUUUGUCUUGUAUUUUCUUAAUUAUUGAAUUACAUUUUCAGUAAUUAAUAACAUGAAUAUAUUCUUA